GGGGGUAUGGCGGAAUUGGUAGACGCUACGGACUUAAAUAAUUUGAGCUUUAGUAGAAAAACUUACUAAAUGCUAGCUUUCAGAUUCAGGGAAACUUAGGUUGAAAAAAAUAUAAGCGAUCCUGAGCCAAAUUUUCUUUUCAAAAUAAAGUAGGUGCAGAGACUCGAUGGAAGCUAUCCUAACGUAAAAAGUUUCAAGAUUUAUUUAAUUAAAUUUUCUAAGUUAAUAGAAAUAAAAAAAAUUUAACUAAUUUUUUUUUAACAAUAAGCGAGGAUAAAGAUAGAGUCCAAUUUUACAUGUUAAUUUUAGCAACAAUUCAAAUUGUAGUAAAAAGAAAAUCCGUUGGCUUUAUUGACCGUGAGGGUUCAAGUCCCUCUACCCCCA
rnacentral:tRNA from 1 species